AGCUCGCUACUGAUGGCCUCCUGGGGUGGAGAAAAGCGGGGAGGGGCUGAGGGGUCUCCGAAGCCGGCAGUCUACGCCACGAGGAAGACCCCUAGCGUCGGGAGCCAGGAGGACCAGUGGUACUUGGGCUACCCGGGGGACCAGUGGUCCUCGGGCUUCUCCUACAGCUGGUGGAAAAACAGCGUCGGCAGCGAGAGCAAGCACGGUGAGGGCGCCUUAGACCAGCCCCAACACGACGUCCACCUGGAAGAUCUUGGCGAGCUCCACAGAGCUGCCCGGUCGGGCGACGUCCCUGGGGUGGAGCACGUCUUGGCUCCUGGAGACACUGGCGUGGACAAGAGGGAUAGGAAGAAGAGCAUUCAGCAACUAGUUCCUGAAUAUAAGGAAAAACAGACACCUGAAAGUCUUCCUCAAAAUAACAAUCCAGCUGCUCCAAGCCAGGCUGAAGGAGGAGAAGGAGGAGUCGCCUGUGGUACGGUGGAGCAGAUGACGUGGCUCUGCAGCUUGCCUCACGCAGUUGGUGGUGGAGAUGGAGACCGCAGCUCGACUGGAGCGGUAGGAGGGCACCCACGGGGGCCUGGAGGUAGGAGUCUGGUAGGGUGGGCUGGUACGUUGAGGGUGACUGGUUGUAUUGGCAUUGGUGCUAGUGGUGGUAGCAGUAGGAAGUCUGGGGGCCGGGAAGGGGGAGUAGGAGCACUGCAGGGCCCAUCCCGUCUGGGGUGGGGAGGAACCUGUGGGUGCUGUAACGAAGGCCUCGGUGGCAGUGGUGGUGGUACACCUAGGACAAAGAGGAGUCCUCCCCCUUCUCCUGCAAUCUGUGGAGUGUGCCCUCCUCCUGCUGGUGCCUGAGCUAGGCGUGAGUGGCAGCAUUAUCUCAUUCUUAACAAAAUUUAGGGGGUGACUAUUUAUGUAUCUUUUUGCUUGUUUUUUGUUGUGAUACUCUUGGAGUUACUCAAAUUUUAUGAAUCGAGCAGGGGAUAAAAAGUGUCAUAUGAUAGGCCUUCUAAUUCCCACACCUGUUCUUUUUCCUUUCUUCCAUUGUGUAUUUUCUUCUCAUUUUCUUGUUCCUCUUCAUUUUCUUUUGCUACUGCUUCUAUUUCAUGUUUGUAUUCUUGUUUCUCCUCCUGUUUUUGUAUUUUUAUGCCAAGCGAUGGCCUUAACAAACCAAAACUGAGUUAAAAAUAAAAUACUUGUCACUGUUGUGUUUUUUAAUAACUGAUCCCUUACUAUGUUUUAGAGAUGAGGGAAAAAAAAUCAGUUGUAUAAUUAGUUACUUGAAUAGCCAUGUUUUCAUAAUUGUGUUAACCCACUUAUGCCUAGUGUUCCAUACUAAGCAUGUGGAAAUUACUUAUAUCUUACUGUUAAAUGUCAUCGGCAAGGUCUGAUUUUUCACUUACGCAAAAAUUCAAAAAAUUGCAACCUCUGGCAUAAAUGGACUAAUGUGUUAUUCAAGGAAUCAAAAAAUGAAGCAUCACAAAAUAUUGGUAGCAAACAGCCAUUUCAUCUCUCUCACAUAUUUUUUUCUGGAGCUAUGCAAGAGUCACAGGGGUAAUAAGUUCUAAUUUAUGAGAUGAUUAAGUGAACCAUAUUCCCUUCAUUUUUUUUUCUGCCACCAUUUUCAAGAAUAUUGUCAUCUGCAUGAGCAAAGGGUUCAUCACCACAUCUUUGCAAGAGGAAAAAGAAGGGGGAAGAAUCAUGUGUCUAAUCUUGUAAGGCAAACAUUCACAACCAAAAACAAGGUUUUAUUAACUUUUUUGCCUUUAAGAACCUGCAGUGUUUAGCCCUCUUUGAUUCCUAGUAUUAUUACCUUUGGUAUGAACUCUUUUAUUAAACUGAUCACUCUAGAGGUUUAUGCAUUUUGAAUCAUUUUUCAAGCCAACAGAAAUGUGUAAUGCCUAUAAUUCUGACACUUUAGUUAUUUUUAAGGCUAUGAGCAUGUAAGAUACUGUUGGAAGAAUAUGUAUAAAUACCACUAGGUAGCUUAUUUUGAAGAGAUAGUAUCUAAAUUUUUGUCCAGAGUAGAUUGGUUGCAGUUUCUUAGGUGUGUUUCUUAAUACGUUGCCUCAAUGUUUUAAAGCAUGUAGAAAUUUGAAUACAGUUUAACUUCAUAUAGUCCUUUGUUUAUAGAUUUAAUAUUUCUAAAGACUAAAGACAUCACAGCUCCCUUUAAGAUUCAGUAAUAUUAAUAAAAUUUUAGAAAUAUAGGGUUAGAAUCCAACAAAUUCAGAGGAAAAUUGUUCAAUUAUAUAGCUGUAGAGCAGGAAUGAAACCCAGGUUCUAAGCUCUAAGGGGGCCAUGAGGUACCAUACAGGUGCAUCAGUGACUGGGCAUAGAUUCAGCAAAAUUACAGGAUGGUUAAGAGAGUGAGCUGUGGAGCCAAACUCUAUGUAACAUGAAUUUUUAAACUGCCUGGUGCCUCAGUUUAUCCGUCUUUACAGUGGGGACUGUAGUAAGUUUUUCUUUUUCUGCUCAGUUGUCUGUCUUGUUGCCACUGUUUCCUAGUCUGUCUUGUUGCCACUCAGUGCCCACAUGAGAGGAUCUAAGGUAAUUUCUGACAGCCUGGGACUCCUUAAAGAAAAACAGAAGGUGCUACAAAACCCAUUUUAGGAGAAACCUCUGUUGUCCUCAUGGAACCCCAAGAACUUCAGGCAGACAGGUCUCUCUCAAAAUCUAAGGCUCUCCUCUGUUUUGUUUUGCGUUAUCUGACCUUUUAGGUUUGGGUGGGCAUCAGAAAUCAGUCGGGGAGAGAGAUCUAAAGAAAGUUGUGGAUAUGAAGAUGUAUUUAUGGUAAGAAAAGUUAUGAAGGAAAGAAAUGUUAUAUGAGAGAGGAUCUUGUAUGGCAAAUUCUUGUCCUAAAGUAGAAUGACUAAUUAUGAAAGAGGGAAAUACAGGAAAAGUCAGAAAGUUCAUGUCAUAGAUGGUCUGUGGAAGUUGUGCUAGGGUUCAUAAAAUGAGAAAGAAAAACUUACAACUGCUAGAUCUUUUCCUGUCUAGAAGUGUUGUGUAUGUGAUGGAUAUGUAAAGGAGCCCUAAUUACUUGGCUUAGAAGAAAAGGAAGGCUCUUAAAUAUUUUGUCAGAAAAAUAGAAUCUCCAAUGCCUUUUAUUUCACAUGACUUCAGUAAUCUUUGGGAAAUAAAAACAAUGUUAAAAUCGUUGGUAAAAAAAAUCAUCAAAAUUUAUCCAUUUUGUCUAAUUUAAGUCAGAGGUUAAAUUUUAGAAGUGCUUUAACGUCAUAAAUUGAUUGACUUUGGAAAAUUGUUCUGUUUACCUGGUUUGGAGCUGUUCAACUUCUAGGUAAGGCCUGGGGGACAGGUGGAGUUAGCCAUGUCUCCUAGCUAUGCUGGAAAGAGUCAGACUUUACCUACAGUUCUGUCUUGUAUCCUAUACACUGCACCUGGUACGUUAUUAAAACUUCCUGCUGCUUCUAAUCUCUGAGUUCCACUUAAAAUUUUUCCAUCACUUGAAUACUAUCCUCUGUACUAAAUUUUUCCGCAAUUAAAUACUUAGAAUCAUUUUUGCCCACUUGACCGAAGCAUUAGUGAUAUAUCUUUAAAAUACUUAUAAUGUGUCACAAUAUAUUUAGCAAAUGUAGCGAAUGGCAUUUUUACUUUUGUCAGCAUUUACAUAGCAUUUAUGUAGCAAUGCUAUCUCAAGUAUUUUUAGUCAUUUGAAUGUUACAUAAUAUGCUUUUCCUUUGUUUCUAUGUAAAUAAAUAGGAGAUAUUCAAUAAAUAGUAUCAAUUAAUGUUUCACUUCUAGAAUAUACUUAUUAGGAUUAUUUUUAAACACUACAUCAUAUUUACUUGUUGGCUUUAUAAUUUAGAAAUAAUAUUUUGGAUUAACUGUGUGACUCAUAAGAGGGAGUUUGUGCAAUUACAAUCUUUACAAAUUUUUACUUGAUUUUCAAGACUUACACUACAACUGUUAGAACAAGGUAAUAAAUAAGCAUAUCUAUUAAUAUCAACUCUUGGCUCGACCCAAUGAUAGUGUAGGAAUUAACAUAAUUUUUCCUACUAAAGGUAUUGGAUUUGUUUUGAGAGACCGCAGUUUAAAAUCAUUGACAUAGAAAGUUUAAAAAUUGUUAAAUUUUUUAAAUGCCUUUGAAAUUGUAUUAUAGAAAAAUAAAUAUCCUAGUUUAGAUUGGUAGGUUUUUUUUUUAAAUAAGGACUAGACCAAGAGAAAGGGAGAGUAGUGAUAAAUGUCCAGGUUUUUAAGUUGAAAAGUGAAAAUCAGUGUAUUACAAUGGAUGGAUUUGAUGUCAAAUUACAGAUGCUGAAAACAUUGUAUGUAAUCUACUAGCCAGGGUAAUUAUACAAGGCAAAGAAAUAAAAGGCAUCCAAAUAGGAAAGGAAGGGGUGAGAUUGUCUCUGUUUUCUGAAAAUGUAAUCCUAAUGUAAAGAAAAUCUUAGACUCCACCAAAAAAACCUGUUAAAGCUGAUAAACACAUUCAAUAAAGUUGAGAGUUACAAAAUUAACAUACAAAUAGUAUUCUUGUUUCUAAACACCCAUGACAAACUAUCUGAAAAAUAAAUUAAUAAAGUAAUUACAUUUAUAGUAGCAUCAAAACAAAUAUAUAAGUAAAUAAAAUACUAAGGAGUAAUUUUAAUGAAGGGUGUGAAAGAUGUGUAUACUGAAAAUUAUAGCACAUUGAUGAAAGAAUUUGGAAGUGACAAAUAGAAAAAUAUCCUAUAUUUAUGAGUUCAAAAAAUAAUAUUGUCAAAAUCUCAAUGCUACCCCAAACAAUCUACAGAUCUGAUAUUUGAUAAAGCAAACAAAACAUAAAGUGGGGAAAGGACACUCUUCAAUAUAUGGUGCUGAGAUAAUUGGCAGGCAACAUGCAGAAAAAUGAAACAGUUCUUCAAAAGGUUAAGUAUAGAAUUACACGUGACUCAGUAAUUCACUCCUAUGUGUACACUAAAAAAAUUAAAACAAACGUCUACACAAAAAGUAGCAUACAAGUAUUUAUAGCAACAAAAAGUAGGAAACAACAGAAAUGUUCAUCAAUUGAGGAGUAGAGUAAUGAAAUGUGGCCUGUCCAUAAAAUAUAAUAUUACUUGGCAAUGAAAAAGAAAAAGGUAUUAAUACAUGCUCCAAAAAGGAUAAACAUUGAAAACAUGGUAAGUGAAAGUAGUGAGUCGCACGUAACUAUAUAUUAUUAUGAUUCCGCUUACAUGAAAUGUCCAGGAUGGGCAAAUCCUUCCAGAAUAGGCAAAUCCUUAGGAAGUAGAUGGAUGGUUGCCUAAGGCUGGGAGAGGUUUUAAGAAAGAGUGGGGAAAAUGAGGAAAGAUUGCUAAUGGGUGCAAGAUUUCUUUUAAGGAGCAUAAAAAUGUUCUAAAAUUAUAUUGUGGUGAUUGCAUAUUCACCCAGUUAAUGCACUAAAAAACUGAAUUUUAUACUUUAUAUGAGUGAAUUAAAUAAUAUAUAAAUUAUAUCUCAAUGAACCUGUGAAAAAUUAAAAAAUAUGUGGUAUGCAUACACAAAAUUUCUUCAUUUUAUUUUAUUUCCAUAGGUUUUUAGGGAACAGGUGGUGUUUGAUUAUAAGAGUAAGUCCUUUAGAGGUGAUUAGUGAGAUUUUGAUGCACCCAACACCUGUGCAGUAUACACUAUCCAAUUUGUAGUCUUUUAUUCCUCACGCCCCAUACCCUUUCUCCCAAGUCCCCAAAGUCCAUUAUAGUAGUCUAAUGCCUUUGCAUCCUCAUAGCUUAGUUCCCGCAUACGAGCGAGGGCAUACGAUGUUUGGUUUUCCAUUCUGACGUUACUUCACUUAGAAUAAUAGUCUCUGAUUCCAUCCAGGUUGCUGUGAAUCCCAUUAUUUUUUUCGUUUUAUGGCUGACUAGUAUUCCCAUAUAUUUAUGUAUUUAUUUAUUUAUAUCACAAUUUCUUAAUCUACUUAUUGAUGGGCAUGUGGGCUCAUUACAUGUUUUUGCAAUUGUGAAUUGUGCUGAUAUAAAAUAAGACAUGGACAGGAUGCUGAGGAGGGCAUCAACAAAUUUCUACAUACAAGUAUUUUAUUUUAUUUUAAAACUUUAUUUUAUUUUAUUUUUUAUUAUUAUCAUACUUUAAGUUUUAGGGUACAUGUGCACAAUGUGCAGGUUAGUUACAUAUGUAUACAUGUGCCAUGCUGGUGUGCUGCACCCAUUAACUUGUCAUUUAGCAUUAGGUAUAUCUCCUAAUGCUAUCCCUCCCCACUCCCCCCACCCCACGACAGUCCCCAGAGUGUGAUGUUCCCCUUCCUGUGUCCACGUGUUCUCAUUGUUCAAUUCCCAUCUAUGAGUGAGAACAUGCAGUGUUUGGUUUUUUGUCCUUGCGAUAGUUUACCGAGAAUGAUGAUUUCCAAUUUCAUCCAUGUCCCUACAAAGGACAUGAACUCAUCAUUUUGUAUGGCUGCAUAGUAUUCCAUGGUGUAUAUGUGCCACAUUUUCUUAAUCCAGUCUAUCAUUGUUGGACAUUUGGGUUGAUUCCAAGUCUUUGCUAUUGUGAAUAGUGCUGCAAUAAACAUACGUGUGCAUGUGUCUUUAUAGCAGCAUGAUUUAUAGUCCUUUGGGUAAAUACCCAGUAAUGGGAUUGCUGGGUCAAACAGUAUUUCUAGUUCUAGAUCCCUGAGGAAUCGCCACACUGACUUCCACAAUGGUCGAACUAGUUUACAGUCCCACCAACAGUGUAAAAGUGUUCCUAUUUCUCCACAUCCUCUCCAGCACCUGUUGUUUCCUGACUUUUUAAUGAUUGCCAUUCUAACUGGUGUGAGAUGGUAUCUCAUUGUGGUUUUGAUUUGCAUUUCUCUGAUGGCCAGUGAUGAUGAGCAUUUUUUCAUGUGUCUUUUGGUUGCAUAAAUGUCCUCUUUUGAGAAGUGUCUGUUCAUAUCCUUUGCCCACUUUUUGAUGGGGUUGUUUGUUUUUUUCUCGUAAGUUUGUUUGAGUUCAUUGUAGAUUGUGGAUAUUAGCCCUUUGUCAGAUGAGUAGGUUGGGAAAACUUUCUCCCAUUUUGUAGGUUGCCUGUUCACUCUGAUGGUAGUUUCUUUUGCUGUGCAGAAGCUCUUUAGUUUAAUUAGAUCCCAUUUGUCAAUUUUGGCUUUUGUUGCCAUUGCUUUUGGUGUUUUAGACAUGAAGUCGUUGCCCAUGCCUAUAGUAUUUUAUAGCAUUGCUUUGAAAUAUUUGAUUCUCAUAUUUAUUUUAAUGGAUGCAAAAUUGUUGAGCAGAGCAGUGUUCAAAAAUAGCUACUAUAAAAAAUAAUUUUUGUCUUACAUUCCAAGUUUUUCCUUUCUCAUGUAAUGAUAAACAAGACAGAGACCUUCAUCAAAUUUUGUACUUUUUAUCUCUACCGACUUCUGAUAAUAUGUAUUUUAUUUAUUUACUUUAUCAUAUUUUUUCUUCAAGGUAGGUUGAGCUGAUGACACACACAAAGACAUACACUCAUACUCAUAUGCACACACAUCCCAAACACUGAAAAGAGAUCUAAUUAACCUAUUGCCCAAAUAUUUUCAAAUCUAAAAUAAGUGUAUGAUUUUGUUUUGUAUAAAAUAUAGUCAGUUCAUUCACGGUCUUUAUUAUUUUGGUGUGAGUUACAGCUUGGAAGUAUGUUUGGCUUAUAUAAUCAUAUAUAUAAUCUUGACAAGGUAAAGCCAGAACUGGCAUAAUUCACUGAAAUGAAAGUGCUAAUGGUUUGUAUGAACACAUCACAACUGGGAAUAAAAAGGUUAUUCACUUUUCAUGGCAAACCUUGUCUUUAUGGUUCAUGGUCUAAGGCUUUGUUUUUUAGACACUUUGAUAUUUCUUCAAUACUAUUUGGAAAAACCUUUAUUAUUGAUAAAGUAUUGAGAAUCAGCCUGCUUGUUUCAUAUAAUUGAGUAGAUAUAUUCUAGAGAGUUAAAUCAUAUAUUUUAGAUUUAGAUUUAACUUUUAUGUUUUAGAUCUUAAACUCAACCAUACAUAUUAUUAAUUUCCAUAUUUCAAGUAAUAUCACUGCUGAUUCUCUGCCCCAGAUGGAUGGUUCUUUCUUCUAUUUUUGGUAUUAUCCAGGCCCUUUCUCUAUAAUCUCUUUUCACAAUAAUUAUAAAAUUUGACCCUUUGUCCUUCAUUGUCACUGAAAAUAGAGAAUUUUAAAUGGAAAUAGAGACUUACUAUGAUAGCUUUCUAAAUAUAAUGCGUUGAUUAGUGGUAGUGGUAAAGUCUGGAAAGGCCUCUGGAUUUGGACUGAGCCAUGCUAACAACUUUCUUAGUUCUCCAGCUUGCACAUGGCCUAUUAUGAGACUUCUUAGCCUCUGAAAUCAGAUAAGCCAAUUCUCCUAAUAAAUGUCUUCUCUUCACUUCUUCUCUCGCUCUCUGUCUAUACACACACACACACACACACACACACACACACACACCUUCUAUCAGUUCUGUUUCUCUGGAGAACCCUGCCUAAAUCAGAGUUCUUAACAGUUUUAUUUCCUCUGGAGAAUAAUAUAUGUACAUCUUAUAUGUGUAAUUUAAAUGACUACACAUGCUACUUUUAAUGUUAUAUUUAUCAAAAAGCAUGUAAAGUCUAAGAUUAUAUGGGCCAGCAUUUAAUGUUUUCCAAAAGGGAAUUUUGAAUAAAGUGAAAUUGAUUUUUUAAGAAUAAGCUGAAAAAUUAAGGACACUUACAAAACUCUAAAAACACAAUUAAAAUGCUACAUUUUGAUUAGCAAUGAUUUUCUAAAAAUUUAAAUGAUAUCUUAUUUGUAUCUUUUUCUGUAUUGAAUUCGUACACUGAGUAAAGUAGACUUCCCCAAUGAUGUGGGUGGGUCCCAUCAAUCAGUGGAAGUCUUGAAUAGAAUAAAAGGGCUGACUUUCCUAGGAGUAAGAAGGAACUUCCUCCUACCUGAAAGCAUUGAGAUGGGACAUUGGUUUCUUCCCACCUUUGGACUCAAACUGAAACUUUGGCUUUCAUUGAGUGUCAAACCUGCCUGCCAGCUUUCACACUGGAGCUAUGCCACCGUCUCUCCUGAGUCUCCAGAUUGCUGACUGCAGAUCUUGGGUCGUCUUUUCCCCCAUAAUCAUGCUAAACAAUGCCUUAUUUCAUCUCCCUGUCUCUUUCUCCUAUUGGUUCUGUUUCUCUGGAAAACACUGACUAAUAUGAUCACCAUAACUGAACUCCAGAUUAAAAUUAUGAGAGAAGUAUGUAAAAUGUAUUUACUUUUAGUAAAACAGUAACAUUUCUACUUAAAUUUUUUUUUUGGAAGAAAGUAGCUAAGUCUUGUUUUCCUGUAAAAGAAUGUAAAUAGACAUUUUGACUCAUUGCUGGUUUUUUCUUGUCUCAACCUUAUUACUUAGAAAAUAUUGUAUUUGUUUUACUUCUGAAAACAUAAAUGUCUUGUUUUACUUCUGAAAACAAAUGGACAAAUAAUGUUCUACCUUCUCUUACUAGCAAAUACAAUUAUUUUUAUUUUUUUCCAAAAGAAACUUAAGUAAAUUCAAUCAAGGGAUGUACUUCAGAGCAUAUUUUUGGUUAAUGCUAAUUUGUAAUUUUAUGUUUGCCUUUUUAUAUAGGGCUAUUUAGAUGCCUAUAUUAUUCUGUUUUUACAUAUAUUUAUUGCACAUUUUUAAUUUAAAAUUUUUCCUGACUACAACUGCAUGUUAUAAACUCCUUGGUACAUAACAUUUUUGCAAACAAUAUUACUUCUUAGAGAAAAGCUAAAAAUGAAAUUAUUAGGUCAAAAAUAUUUUACUGAUUUCAUAUGUGAAGGCUCCAUUUUGAUAUAUUGGGAAAUAAAGUAUAUUGUUAAAGCUUUCUUUUUUGGUAUAUUCCUAUAUUAGACUUUUUAAAUUACAGAGUUAAUUACCAUAGAAUUAUAAUAUGCUUUGAUAUUUAAUAUUUGGAUUUGUUUCUAUUACUUCUGGACAAAUUACCAAAAAUGUAGUAUACUAUUUUAGUACAUUAUACCAGUAUAUUAGUAUUAGUAAAUCAUUACAAUUAAUAUAGUAUUAUUUUCUGUUCCUUUAUUGUCCUGCCUCAGUGCCUCAUAAGAACUUUGAGCCCAGAAUUAUUAUCUCAGGAUUCUUUGGCAAACUACUGUAAUCAGCAGAUUAACGUAGUUUCUAAUGGUCUCCAUCUCCUGGGAUUCCAACCCUUGUCUAAUACCCUCCCCAUGGGUGUCAGCUGGAUCCAUAGACUUGCUGCUGUUGCAUAGAAUACAGCAAACAUGAUGAGAGGUUGAUUCUGUGAUUAGUUGACAAAAGAUGUGACUUCUGUCUUGGACUCUUUUCAAUGGCUUUUUUUUUGGCUUCGCACAUUUUGAUGAAGAAACCUUCCCAUACUGAAGAGGCUCACAUUAUAUGGAAUUCUGGACAACAGCUAUCAAAGUACUGAAUACACCAUCAAGCAUUGAGUGAGAUUGAUUAUAACUUGUGAGAGUCUCUGAAUAGAAGACCCAGUUAAGCCAUGCCCAGAUUCCUGCACCACAGAAACUUCGAGAUAAUAAAGGUUUUUUGGGUUUUUUUGUGGUGAAGAAUAUGUUUCUCAUCUUUUUUUAAAAUUUUAUUAUUAUACUUUAUUUUGGGAUAAUUUGUUAUGGAGGAAUUGACAAAUAAUAUAAAUACUUUUGAAAUGUAACUUUUUUAUCUUAAUAAACAUUUAACAAAUCAUUUGAAGAUG